CCUACGGGAGGCAGCAGUGAGGAAUAUUGGUCAAUGGACGAGAGUCUGAACCAGCCAAGUAGCGUGAAGGAUGACUGCCCUAUGGGUUGUAAACUUCUUUUAUAUGGGAAUAAAAUGUUCCACGUGUGGGUUUUUGUAUGUACCAUAUGAAUAAGGAUCGGCUAACUCCGUGCCAGCAGCCGCGGUAAUACGGAGGAUCCGAGCGUUAUCCGGAUUUAUUGGGUUUAAAGGGAGCGUAGGUGGAUUGUUAAGUCAGUUGUGAAAGUUUGCGGCUCAACCGUAAAAUUGCAGUUGAGACUGGCAGUCUUGAGUACAGUAGAGGUAGGCGGAAUUCGUGGUGUAGCGGUGAAAUGCUUAGAUAUCACGAAGAACUCCGAUUGCGAAGGCAGCUCACUGGACUGCAACUGACACUGAGGCUCGAAAGUGUGGGUAUCAAACAGGAUUAGAUACCCCUGUAGUC
rnacentral:rRNA from 1 species